GUGGACGCCAGUCUGCGUGGAGCCGACCUUGAAAUACCACCCUUUAAUGUUUGAUGUUCUAACGUGGACCCGUAAUCCGGGUUGCGGACAGUGUCUGGUGGGUAGUUUGACUGGGGCGGUCUCCUCCUAAAGAGUAACGGAGGAGCACGAAGGUUGGCUAAUCCUGGUCGGACAUCAGGAGGUUAGUGCAAUGGCAUAAGCCAGCUUGACUGCGAGCGUGACGGCGCGAGCAGGUGCGAAAGCAGGUCAUAGUGAUCCGGUGGUUCUGAAUGGAAGGGCCAUCGCUCAACGGAUAAAAGGUACUCCGGGGAUAACAGGCUGAUACCGCCCAAGAGUUCAUAUCGACGGCGGUGUUUGGCACCUCGAUGUCGGCUCAUCACAUCCUGGGGCUGAAGUAGGUCCCAAGGGUAUGGCUGUUCGCCAUUUAAAGUGGUACGCGAGCUGGGUUUAGAACGUCGUGAGACAGUUCGGUCCCUAUCUGCCGUGGGCGCUGGAGAACUGAGGGGGGCUGCUCCUAGUACGAGAGGACCGGAGUGGACGCAUCACUGGUGUUCGGGUUGUCAUGCCAAUGGCACUGCCCGGUAGCUAAAUGCGGAAGAGAUAAGUGCUGAAAGCAUCUAAGCACGAAACUUGCCCCGAGAUGAGUUCUCCCUGAGACUUAGAGUCUCCUGAAGGAACGUUGAAGACGACGACGUUGAUAGGCCGGGUGUGUAAGC
rnacentral:rRNA from 1 species